rnacentral:rRNA from 1 species
GUCCACGCCGUAAACGAUGUCUACUAGCCGUUGGGAUCCUUGAGGUCUCGGUGGCGCAGCUAACGCGAUAAGUAGACCGCCUGGGGUAGUACGGCCGCAAGGUUAAAACUCAAAUGAAUUGACGGGGGCCCCGCACAAGCGGUGGAGCAUGUGGUUUAAUUCGAUGCAACGCGAAGAACCUUACCAGGUCUUGACAUCCAGAGAACUUUCCAGAGAUGGAUUGGUGCCUUCGGGAACUCUGAGACAGGUGCUGCAUGGCUGUCGU